AGCAUAGAAAGGGCAGUCGCUAAAAAAUAAAAAUUUAGAGGAACGUCCGGACUUCACAGAACAAAGCGCCGGGUAACACCCGGUGGAAUAGUAUAAUACUAUUUCUAAGGAAAGCAGCACAGAAAAGAUACCGCCCCAUUAAUAAUGGAGUAAGGGUGAAAUGGCAGGGUAAGAGCCUACCGCGGCAUUAGUAAUUUUGCCGGUUCUCUUAAGAGAAUUGUCCCGCUUUGCGGGAUGACGUGCUAAGCCCCGCUUGAAGCAAGAUCAAAUAGGGAAGUAUUCUAUGCCGUAAGGUAUAGGCAGAGUUGUUCGCUCUGGUGCUUUCGGGUAGAUCGCUAUAAUCUAUAAGUAAUUAUAGAUAGAGAUAAAUGAUUGCCGCCCCUUAAUUGGGGAACAAAAUCCGGCUUAUAUUUUUAUGCGUGUU
rnacentral:RNase_P_RNA from 1 species